GCGAAGAACCUUACCAGGCCUUGACAUCCCAAGGAAAGCCCCUUAACCGGGGCCCCUCUUCGGAGUCUUGGAGACAGGUGGUGCAUGGUUGUCGUCAGCUCGUGUCGUGAGAUGUUGGGUCAAGUCCCGCAACGAGCGCAACCCUUGUCCGUAGUAGCCAGCAGUAAGAUGGGAACUCUACGGAGACUGCCGGGGAUAACCCGGAGGAAGGUGGGGAUGACGUCAAAUCAUCAUGCCCCUUACGGUCUGGGCGACACACGUGCUACAAUGGCGUAACAAAGGGAAGCGAGCCCGCGAGGGGGAGCAAACCCCAAAAAUAGCGUCCCAGUUCGGACUGUAGUCUGCAACCCGACUACACGAAGCCGGAAUCGCUAGUAAUCGCGGAUCAGAAUGCCGCGGUGAAUACGUUCCCGGGUCUUGUACACACCGA
rnacentral:rRNA from 1 species